CCUACGGGGGGCAGCAGUGGGGAAUAUUGGACAAUGGGGGCAACCCUGAUCCAGCCAUGCCGCGUGUGUGAAGAAGGCCCUCGGGUUGUAAAGCACUUUCAGUGAGGAAGAACGCCUGGUGGUUAAUACCCAUCAGGAAAGACAUCACUCACAGAAGAAGCACCGGCUAACUCCGUGCCAGCAGCCGCGGUAAUACGGGGGGUGCGAGCGUUAAUCGGAAUUACUGGGCGUAAAGCGCGCGUAGGUGGCUUGAUAAGCCGGUUGUGAAAGCCCCGGGCUCAACCUGGGAACGGCAUCCGGAACUGUCAAGCUAGAGUGCAGGAGAGGAAGGUAGAAUUCCCGGUGUAGCGGUGAAAUGCGUAGAGAUCGGGAGGAAUACCAGUGGCGAAGGCGGCCUUCUGGACUGACACUGACACUGAGGUGCGAAAGCGUGGGUAGCAAACAGGAUUAGAUACCCCUGUAGUC
rnacentral:rRNA from 1 species